UCUAAAUUUAAAAACAAAGGU
rnacentral:piRNA from 1 species